rnacentral:rRNA from 1 species
AUCAGGUAGGAACACCCGCUGAACUUAAGCAUAUCAAUAAGCGGAGGAAAAGAAAAUAACAAUGAUUCCCCUAGUAACUGCGAGUGAAGAGGGACAAGCUCAAAUUUUAAAUCUGUCGGGUUUUACCCGAUCGAGUUGUAAUUUGAAGAAGCGUUUUCUGCGUAUUUGGUCAGCCCAAGUCCUAUUGAAUGAGGCAUCAUGGAGGGUGAUAAUCCCGUCCGGUUGAUCAUUGCGUUUUAUGAUACGCUUUCUAAGAGUCAAGUUGUUUGGGAUUGCAGCUUAAAAUGGGAGGUAAAUUUCUCCUAAGGCUAAAUAACGGCGAGAGACCGAUAGCGAACAAGUACCGUGAGGGAAAGAUGAAAAGAACUUUGAAAAGAGAGUUAAACAGUACGUGAAAUUGUUGAAAGGGAAACGAUUGAAGCCAGUCGUACCUAUGGGUAAUCAGCCUUUUGGGUGUGAUUUUGUGGAGCGUGGAGAGUUAAACGCCUUCAUGCCUGCAUAUUCGUGCACUUUGGGUGUACUUGCCCGUGUGUAAGUUAACAUCAAUUUUGGUGGUCAUAAAAUGGCUGGAGGAAUGUAGCUUCGAUCUUGUAUUGAAGUGUUAUAACCUUCGGUAGAUGUGACGAUCGGGAUUGAGGAUUGCAACGGAUACCCUUCGGGGCUACCUGUCUGAUCUCUGAUUGUUGCUCUGGUGCCGAAAGCUUGCUUACGGUUAUCAAAGUCGAUGGUCAAUAGGUUAGAACGGGUUAAAUUCGUUAAGGAUGUUGACGUAAUGGCUUUAAACGACCCGUCUUGAAACACGGACCAAGGAGUCUAACAUAUAUGCGAGUGUU